AUGGCCGAAGUGGACAUUGUGGACGGCGAGACAGGCUCCAGCGUGCCCCGAGACGGCACCACGAUGGGCGAGAUCAUGCUCCGUGGUGAGUUCGUCAUGCUGGGGUACCUAAACAAUAGAGAGGCAACAUGGGCGGCGAUCCGGGACGAUGGGUGGUUCUACACGGGCGACGUUGGGGUGAUGCACCCGGACGGUAACUGGAGAUGCGUGACGGGUCCAAGGACGUGA
rnacentral:rRNA from 1 species